GCCGGGAGUAACUAAUUUGAAAGGAGAAGUAUGAUCGGAGGAGGAGAAGAGGUUAGAAUUCUAGAGAGAAGUUGGAAGGUCUAGAGAGAAGGAGGAGAAAAUGGUGGAUUCUGGAAAAUGAACUUGAGGAAGAAGGAAGGUUGCAAUGCAGAAAAUGGUGCCAAGUUUAAAAUCUCACUUUAAAUAUGGUCGCCAAAAUGGACGUUCGGUCCACUCCCUUUCUACCACAUGGCUUCCACUAUCUGGAAAACCACAUUCCCUUUUGCAACCACACGUCUACCGAGGGCGGGGAAUUAAAUGCAAUAACAGGCUUUGUCUGCCACUGCCAUGGGGAAUUUGGAAGGGUCUUGACAAGUGUACCCCACUAAAGAGGGGUAUUAAAUGGGGUGUGACAUUAUAUAUUUUUUCCUCCAUUCAAAUAGUUAUACUUUCCCCUUUUUUUUUUUCCUUUUCCAAUCCAAACAAAUCAUAAAUUCAAAUACACUUGUUACCUAUCUGAUAAGAGUCUUUUGUCUUUAAAUUUAUUGAAUAAGUUACCAUUCAUCUUAAAUAAAUUAAUUUGAGGAAGAAGAAAUGUUGCAAUGCAGAAAGUGGUGUCAAGUUUAAAAUCUCACUUUAAAUAUGGCCGCCAAAAUGGACGUUCGGUCCACUCCCUUUCUACCACAUGGCUUCCACUAUCUGGAAAACCACAUUCCCCUUGCAGCCACACGUCUACCGAGGGCGGGGAAUUAAAUGCAAUAACAGGCUUUGUCUGCCACUGCGAUGGGGAAUUUGGAAGGGUUUUGACAAGUGUACCCCACUAAAGAGGGGUAUUAAAUGGGGUGUGACAUUAUAUAUUUUUUCCUCCAUUCAAAUAAUUAUACUUUCCCUCCUUUUUUUUUUCCUUUUCCCUCUCCUUUUCCAAUCCAAACAAAUCAUAAAUUCAAAUACAUUGUUACCUA
rnacentral:lncRNA from 1 species